ensembl:lncRNA
GGUAUAUGCAACGUUUUCCUCUUAUUUUUUAAUAAUAAUAUUAAAAUAGGUUAAGUAAUUAUAUUAAAUAGCUUAACUAAUAAUAUUAAAAUAGGUUAAUUAUUAAAAUGGGUUUCAUACAUACAUAAGAACAUAUGUAACAUGCAGGUAAGCAUAUUAAGCAGCUCUGGUCUCCUGUCUCAUAGUCACUGAGAUUCAUUUUCCUCCAGUUAUUCCUGUCACAACGGUCUUGACUUAGCUUCUCACCUUGGGACUUGGGCUUCUCUGAAGUCACUACCUGGGAGGCAUGUGGGAAGCGACCUGGCACUCAUUCCUGCCCAGCCUGGAAGUGGGAAGAGUGAAUAACCCAUGGGGCAGCCUUGACCAAGGGAGACAAGAGCUAAUGAUGAAUACAUCUCUCAUCCCCAUCAGCCAGAAUUCCGAAGCAUAUUCUAUUUGAUUCCACAGGAGGUCCUGGCAGAUUUGAGCACCAGCUGUCUUCAAUGAACUAUUGGCUUUCCCCUUUCUCUGCUUUUCUCUCUCCAAAACCCCAAUCCUCUUUCCGAAAUCAAUUCUCAAGGCAAACUACCUGCAUGCCAGCCCUUGUCUCAGGCUCUAUUUUCCUGGGGAACCUCAGCCAAAGCAACAGCACCGGUCUAGGAAAUUGCUACUCACAGUGUUUCUCGGCACAAUAAGAUCUGCAUCACCCAGAAAUGCAGAAUCUCUGGCCUAUCUUCAAACCGUCUCAGUGCCUUGCAGCAAAACACAGUUUACAAAGCAAAAAAGGACAAAGGAAAGGAAAGCAAAAGAAUGGAAACGACAUAGAAUCCAGGAAACAGGAAAGAAAGUGUACUGUAUAGAAUUACUGAUUUGGGUCAAAGUGGGACAUAGAGCCUUCAAUGAAGGUCUCGGAAAAAAAUAAAAUACUUGAUUAAAUGAAGAGGUUGAUUUUUUUAAAAAAGAGGAUGUAUUUAUUAUAAACGGUAUAUUUAAAGGAAUAAUGAGAAACUUCGAGGGACAAGAAAAUAGCAGAAGGGAUGAAAUCAUAGUCACUCCUGGCUCGUUAAUAAAAAAUAUUUGUCCACAAUUAUGAAAAGAAUGGUCAAGAGGAGGUGGUGCUCAUAUUUUAUAAUGUGGAGCAUCAAAGAGACCAUCUGUACUUGAAGAAACAUAAAAUAUGAAGUUAAUGCAUUACCUACAGAUACAAAACAACAUUUUCCAAAAGAACCUAAAACAUAAGAAAAAUAUACAGCCCACAUAUGGGAGGAGGGGAGCUGGAGGUCUAGCAAAAAGGAAAUAACAUUUCAUCUGUUAUGGUAAAAGACAGUGACUAAAAUGAUGGGUGGAGAACUAGACAGAUACUUUCCAGAAGAAAGACCUCAAAAGACGAAAGUGCUUAUUUGUGAAGGAUAGGUCUAAAGUAGGAAAAGGAUAAGGGACUCACUGCUUGUAAUUCAUUUGUAUAGAUUCCUUCAUAAAAAUAAAAUACAAAAAUUUAUAACAUACUUAGAUAUAUAAUACUUAGGUGCUUAUAGUUUUAUACUAUAUAUGGAAACAUAGUUAUAUUUCACAAUAGUCAAUUACUAUAUUAGCUUCUUUUUGAUGACAUGUAUCUAUAGUUUUUCUGAGAUUACCCCAUUUUAUUUUUUAUGAGAUAUACCUUUGCUUUGUUUAUUUUUGUAAUGUAUAUAUGAAUACACCACUUUCCAUCUUAAGAGUUUGAAAGUAUUU